rnacentral:rRNA from 1 species
GACGAACGCUGGCGGCGUGCUUAACACAUGCAAGUCGAGCGGUAAGGCCCUUUCGGGGGUACACGAGCGGCGAACGGGUGAGUAACACGUGGGUGACCUGCCUUUAGCUCUGGGAUAAGCCUGGGAAACCGGGUCUAAUACCGGAUAUGACUCCGCGGCGCAUGUUGUGGGGUGGAAAGCCUUGUGCGGCUGGAGAUGGGCCCGCGGCCUAUCAGCUUGUUGGUGGGGUGAUGGCCUACCAAGGCGACGACGGGUAGCCGGCCUGAGAGGGCUACCGGCCACACUGGGACUGAGACACGGCCCAGACUCCUACGGGAGGCAGCAGUGGGGAAUCUUGCGCAAUGGGCGAAAGCCUGACGCAGCGACGCCGCGUGAGGGAUGACGGCCU